rnacentral:lncRNA from 1 species
AACUUCAGAAUUAUUUCACUCGAGAACCCCAACUCCUCAGUCCUCAUCACCACCAACACUUCGUCACUAUCUCAUCAAACCCCAAAUACGUUCUGCCGUCGCACCAUCCACUCGAGAACCAUCGGUGUCGGCACUCCUCUUCCACACUCACCGCUCCUCUGAUCCCGUCGCUCACCGCUCCUCUGAUCCCGUCGCUCACCAUCAGUCGUCUUCGCGGCGUGCUCACAUCGGUCGUCAGCUUUGUCCUCUGAUCCCGUCGCUCACCAUCGUGGUGGAGAAGGUAUCUACUCACGCCCAUUUUGUUCUAAAAUUUCAGAGGGUUAGGAUUCCGACUUUAGGGUUUUCAAUUUGGGGGUUUGGUGACCAUUUGCGGCGUGAGUGAAUUCUCGUACCCUCAUUUCUCCUUUUAAGAAUUUUAUUAUAACUUCUAUGAUGAUUGAUACUCUUGGACUCUUGGUACCAAAUGUUCAGAAACUGAUGACAGGAGAGGACCAUCAUUAAGAGCUAAAAUUGUAGGAAGUAAUCACAAGAACAAGAACAAGAAUAAAGCUAAGGUGGGGUUAGCAAAACGAAGCAAUCACAAGAACAAUUCUUUUGAAAAAUGUUUCAUCCAUCUCAGGUAAUGUUCCUGAAACCUAAACUAGAAGCUUAGUAAAAACAGAAACAAGCAUUCCUUUAAAGCUUUCGUGCCUUGGUGUGAUAUAAGAUUUUUUGAUAAAUGCUCAUAAAGAAAACAAUUCUUUAAAACAUUAUAUUCUUCAUAAAUGAGGUUAAAUAACCAGCAACAGUAAGAACUGAAAUGUGCCGGCUGUACAGAUAGGGAAGAAGAUUCUAACAAGCAAAGAGAUUAAGAUAAUAAUGCAUUCUGUAGUAAAAACACUAAAGAUACAAUCAAUAAACUGAAAUUGAAAAUAGACUGAAAAUCAGCUACUUGACUAGUAGAUAUGCAUCAAUGUGUUUCUCAAGAUCAAAUGUACUCUCCUUGUUUUCUCCUUUAUCUUCACCAUUUAGGACAUCUCUUUUAAUUAAGCUAGUUCUAUGGCCACUGAAUUGUUCUAAAAUUUGAGAGAGUUCUGAUUUUAGGGUUCCGAUUUGAUUCACUUUUUGCUUAUCAGCUUGCAUUGUUUGAUUUGAUAGGGGUGUUCUCAAGAAUAGGGCUAUUAUAAUGGCAUGUGUGUACAACUAUGCUACUCUGUGAAUUUGCUUCAGCUUGCGUUUUGCUUACUCUGGUUUGUGCAUGCCUUCAAUUUUGGUUCUUAUGAUUUUGUGCGUGCGUGUUUGUUCAGCUGCUUGAAAAUGAAAUCAUUAGUUGGUGUUUAUUCAGUUCUGUUCUAUUCUGAUUAAGCUUUUGAAUUCCAUUAUAUUGUUUAUUUGAUGUUGUCGUGAAUUGUGAUAAGACAACUGGAAAAGCAUACACAAAAUUGUACUGAUAUUGGGUGUGUUGUAGUGUUGAGUUGAGAAUCUUGAUGCGUAUUAGAAAGUAGUAUUAUGACACUGACUUCUGGUAGCUAAAGAAAGUAUCUAGUUCCAGUUGUUGGCUGAUUUGUUAUGAUAACUCUGGAUUUGUUUGAAGAAAAACUUUGGAUGAUUUGUUCUUAAAUUGGUUUAUGACCAAUUAACAGCUUCUGUAACUAAUCUUUUUAUGCAUGCUCACUGACAUAUUAGAGAUGCAUACCUAUGUAAGACACUUUUAUGGCAAACCUUAUGCAUUUUUAUUCAUGUUCUUAACAAAAUAAACUAAAUAUUUUGGUAUAAUAGCUCUAGUUGCUAGGCUGAGUAUCCUAUAAAGUAUAAACUAGACUUGAAGAUUAUAUAGUUGCAAUAAUGGAAUCACUCUUGCUGAAUGUGACAUCUUAAUGGUCAUGUUCAUGGAAUGAAAUUAUAUCUAAAGUUGCAACAUAAUAAUUAUAUUGCAAUAAUUUAAUGAAUUGUGUUCUUUUUAACUCUCUUUUUACAUAUUUAAUAUAAUUAGUGUCAUUUCAAGUGAUGAAGACACAAAUUAAAAACAUAUAUUCCAUAGUGAUAUGAUAUAUUUUGCUCGCGAUGAUUUGUAUAUGAUUUUCAAAUUGAGCAAAAUUAGUUUUUAUUUAUUUCCAUUGAGCAAAAUUCAAGCAAAACAUACUGUGAUCACAGGCAUCCAUUUUCCAUAACCUCCACCCCGGAUCAUAAUUACCCAAGCGUUCAUAUUAAGAUACUUGGUGAUUGGACUGGAAAUCUGAAAGCCAAAUUCGUUAAGGUGAAUUAAUCUUUAUUUGUUUACUUAUGUUCCUAAUUGACCCCUUUCCCGACGCCCAGAGUCACCCCUACCCUGUUGCUUCUAUAGUUAUAAUUAACCCCUUCCCCUAAUCUGCUUUUAUAGGCAGAAUUUUAAUUCCACUUUACAUUUUCUAUUCUAUCCUUUUCUUUUUUGGGUGCUCUCUCUAUCAUUUGGAUUUGCUUCCUUUUUCUGCAAUUCCUUUUGUAUUUUAUUUAAUUUUUUCCCCUUAAAAUUCUCCUUUUGUUCUUGUUGCUUUUGGACAUAAAAUUAUUAUGAAAAAAAAUUGAGAUGUGUGAUGUAGCAGUAUCUAUGAUUUUUAAUAUAUAUUGUUAAUUAGGAUUAUUAUUGUUUAUAUAUUGUUAAUUGUUAAUUAGGAUUCUGAAUAUCUACUGUUAAGUUUAAAAUUUUUAUUUGUUAGAACUUAGGAGGAUGCCAAAUCUUUUUAAUUUGAACUGAAAUUGAAGAAGAUGAAAGCUGUGAUUUGGGCUUUUUGGUUUUGUUUUUUCAUUAUGUAAUUUUAUUAUUGUUGUUAUCAGGGUGGAAGUUGUAAUUUUUCUGGUUUUUCUGAUUUUUCUGGUUUUGUUUUUUCAUUAUGUAAUUUCAUGCAAAGUUUGAGCUUCUUAUAAUGUUAAAAUAAAAAAAAAAGAAAAAUGUUAUUAUGCACUGCUUGUCACUUGCACAAUGCACUUGAGUUUCUGAUUUUAGUUCCCAUUUAGUAUGAAGUCGUGUUACUCCGUUUUUUAGUUUGUUUUUUAGUUAUGUCCUUUAUGGUGAUUUAUAGUAUUCCCUGAAUAUGAUUGUUAUUUUAAAGCAAAAGACUUUGGUUUAUUUAAUUAUUUAUUCAAACAUAGUAUGGUUUUGUUUCUUAUUUUAUGUUUUUGGUGAAAUGAAAAGAAGAGUAGUUUCAAUUAUCCUAUGCCGCUCGGAUAUUGUAUAUGUUAUUAAUAUGUUAAUUACUUUUUUCUUGUUGUACUUUUUCAAAUUAUAAUUAUUUUUCUAUAUAAUUAUGCAGGAUAAUUCUGAAGAUGUGAGUGAAGAUUGAGAUGCUGAUCAUGAUGGUUUAUUGACAAAGAUGGAAAUUGAAAGAUGUAUGGUUGAUGAUGAUAUCUUUUAUUAGAAGCUAAGAUACAUUUAUAUGAUAUAAUAUUUUGGUUUUUCCUAGUUUAUUAGCAGUAAACUCUAAGUGCAUUAUAUGAGUAUACAUUUUAUUCUAGUUUGAGAUGUAUGAAUACUCAAAAUUAUGAUCAUCCCAAUAUUUUUGGUUCAUUGUAUAAUUAUAUUUUGUUUCAGUAUAAUUUUUAUUAUUUAAAGAUUAUUG